AUUGAACGCUGGCGGCAUGCUUUACACAUGCAAGUCGAACGGUAACAGGCCGCAAGGUGCUGACGAGUGGCGAACGGGUGAGUAAUGCAUCGGAACGUGCCCAGUCGUGGGGGAUAACUACUCGAAAGAGUAGCUAAUACCGCAUACGAUCUAUGGAUGAAAGCGGGGGACCGUAAGGCCUCGCGCGACUGGAGCGGCCGAUGUCAGAUUAGGUAGUUGGUGGGGUAAAGGCUCACCAAGCCAACGAUCUGUAUCUGGUCUGAGAGGACGACCAGCCACACUGGGACUGAGACACGGCCCAGACUCCUACGGGGGGCAGCAGUGGGGAAUUUUGGACAAUGGGCGCAAGCCUGAUCCAGCAAUGCCGCGUGCAGGAAGAAGGCCUUCGGGUUGUAAACUGCUUUUGUACGGAGCGAAACGGCUCUGGUUAAUACCCGGGGCUAAUGACGGUACCGUAAGAAUAAGCACCGGCUAACUACGUG
rnacentral:rRNA from 1 species